rnacentral:rRNA from 1 species
ACCAGAAGUAGCUAGUCUAACCCUCGGGAGGACGGUUACCACGGUGUGAUUCAUGACUGGGGUGAAGUCGUAACAAGGUAGCCGUAGGGGAACCUGCGGCUGGAUCACCUCCUUAAUCGACGACA